ACGCUCGACACCUACGGGGCAGCAGUGGGGAAUAUUGCACAAUGGGGGAAACCCUGAUGCAGCGACGCCGCGUGGAGGAAGAAGGUCUUCGGAUUGUAAACUCCUGUUGUUGGGGAAAAAGAGGAUGGUACCCAACAAGGAAGUGACGGCUAACUACGUGCCAGCAGCCGCGGUAAUCUGAGCGGGCUGGCAAGGC
rnacentral:rRNA from 1 species